CAAAGUUUAAUUCAAUUUUAUUUUCCACUUUUAGUAUUUUUCAAAUUAUACAACAUGCAGUCUGCCAGAGUAUCCAUAGAUCUUCAUUUUAGAACCUAGAAGAUAACCAAAAUUGUCCAUGGGCCAGGGGAGGGUUACUUCCAGCUCUUUUGUUACAUGUACUAUAUUACAGCAUCAUAACUCGAUACAAACUGCCAUUCUCCCCCUCACACCACCAAAACAAAUUCAUCCACAAGUGAUGAACAGAUUUGUAAAUAUGUAAGUAGACUUCACGGAAUGGUGCUUCCUUCGGCUGUUACCUUGACCUUAUUCAGGAUUUUUUAAAAAGUCUAAGCUGUUAAUGUUCAGUGAAGGCAUUUUAGACUAUGACGGUUCCC
rnacentral:lncRNA from 1 species